rnacentral:rRNA from 1 species
CCUACGGGUGGCAGCAGUGAGGAAUAUUGGUCAAUGGACGAGAGUCUGAACCAGCCAAGUAGCGUGAAGGAUGACUGCCCUAUGGGUUGUAAACUUCUUUUAUAUGGGAAUAAAAUGUUCCACGUGUGGGAUUUUGUAUGUACCAUAUGAAUAAGGAUCGGCUAACUCCGUGCCAGCAGCCGCGGUAAUACGGAGGAUCCGAGCGUUAUCCGGAUUUAUUGGGUUUAGAGGGAGCGUAGGUGGAUUGUUAAGUCAGUUGUGAAAGUUUGCGGCGCAACCGUAAAAUUGCAGUUGAAACUGGCAGUCUUGAGUACAGUAGAGGUGGGCGGAAUUCGUGGUGUAGCGGUGAAAUGCUUAGAUAUCACGAAGAACUCCGAUUGCGAAGGCAGUUCACUGGACUGCAACUGACACUGAGGCUCGAAAGUGUGGGUAUCAAACAGGAUUAGAUACCCCAGUAGUC